UACGUAGGGGGCAAGCGUUGUCCGGAAUCAUUGGGCGUAAAGAGCGCGUAGGCGGCCCAGUAAGUCCGCUCUGAAAGUCAGAGGCUCAACCUCUGGAUGCGGGUGGAUACUGCUGGGCUAGAGUCCGGAAGAGGCGAGUGGAAUUCCUGGUGUAGCGGUGAAAUGCGUAGAUAUGUGGAGGAACACCGAUGGCGAAGGCAGCCCCCUGGGCUAACACUGACGCUCAUGCACGAAAGCGUGGGGAGCAAACAGG
rnacentral:rRNA from 1 species